UACGAAGGGGGCUAGCGUUGCUCGGAAUCACUGGGCGUAAAGCGCACGUAGGCGGAUUGUUAAGUCAGGGGUGAAAUCCUGGAGCUCAACUCCAGAACUGCCUUUGAUACUGGCGAUCUUGAGUCCGGGAGAGGUGAGUGGAACUGCGAGUGUAGAGGUGAAAUUCGUAGAUAUUCGCAAGAACACCAGCGGCGAAGGCGGCUCACUGGCCCGGUACUGACGCUGAGGUGCGAAAGCGUGGGGAGCAAACAGG
rnacentral:rRNA from 1 species